AGUGGCGAACGGGUGAGUAAUGUAUCGGAACGUGCCCAGUAGCGGGGGAUAACUACGCGAAAGCGUAGCUAAUACCGCAUACGCCCUACGGGGGAAAGCAGGGGAUCGCAAGACCUUGCACUAUUGGAGCGGCCGAUAUCGGAUUAGCUAGUUGGUGGGGUAACGGCUCACCAAGGCGACGAUCCGUAGCUGGUUUGAGAGGACGACCAGCCACACUGGGACUGAGACACGGCCCAGACUCCUACGGGAGGCAGCAGUGGGGAAUUUUGGACAAUGGGGGAAACCCUGAUCCAGCCAUCCCGCGUGUGCGAUGAAGGCCUUCGGGUUGUAAAGCACUUUUGGCAGGAAAGAAACGUCAUGGGUUAAUACCCCGUGAAACUGACGGUACCUGCAGAAUAAGCACCGGCUAACUACGUGCCAGCAGCCGCGGUAAUACGUAGGGUGCAAGCGUUAAUCGGAAUUACUGGGCGUAAAGCG
rnacentral:rRNA from 1 species